rnacentral:sRNA from 1 species
GGAACGGGCCUUUCAGGCAUCCUCUCCUAAAACUUGCGGGCCGGCCCUUUUGGGCUGGCCCCUUUUUUAUUGUUGC